GACGCGACCUCAGCUCAGGCGGGGCUACCCGCUGA
rnacentral:rRNA from 1 species